rnacentral:lncRNA from 1 species
GGCUUGUGUUAAAAAUGCCAGAAUUAAACUACAAAAUCUGCUGGCUCGUGUUGAUGAUGCAAAAACUGAAUUGCAAGAUGUGCAAACUCUUCGCGGGGAGAAGUUGACAGAAAUUGAGAAGGCUUUUGGAACUUUGGGUACUAACCUAGCUGUAGGUUUCAUUGCAGGUGAUCUAUUGUCUAAUCCUUAACUUUCAUGGAUUAGUUGUAGGUUUCAUGGUGCCUCAUCCAGUCUUGAAGUUAUUAUUAGGUACUUGAAGGUAUCAUUGAUCAACUAUCCAUUUUGUAUUACACCGCUUUUGUGUUUGGUUUCAAACUAAUUGUCAUGGAAGUGUUGAAAUGCUUGUAGCAUAAUCUAUCAAGUUGUUUGAUCUAAUUCUGAAAAGAUGCCUAGAAACUUUUUCUUUGAGCAGUUCCUUGGAAGCAAGUUGUAUGUAGUAUGUAAGUUGAAGUUGGACGCUUUGAGCUUUUGCUUCUUAAAAGCUAUAAAGUUGUUAAAACUAACUGGUAAAUUCGUAUGUAAUAUAAAGUGUUUAUAAACUUUUUUUUACAGAUUUAAAUUUCCAAGUAAAAUUUUGAAAUUAGAUUAUUUGAUAAAUUAAUUUUUAACAUACAAUUCAGAAUUUGUAAAUUUUUGAUUACUUGUUUUUUAAAUGGCUUAUUUUUAUUUUUGAAAAUUGAUUUUACAAAAACGUAUACUCCCUUUGUCUCAGUUAAUUGUAUACGUUUUUUCCGUACUCGACACGUAUUUUAAGAUUUUUAUAAAAUAUAAUUUUAUAACUUAUUUUUUAAUUUGUCGUUUUUUGUAUAAAAAUAUAAAUGCCAUAUUUUAUAAAGAAAAAGAAAAUUUUAAAAAUAAUUUGUGAAAUUAUACUGUGUUAAAGCAUUAAAACUCAUGUCGCGUUCCCAGACGCCUGUGUAUACUAUUGGUUGGGAUGGGGAGUAAUUCAUGUAAAAGUAUACGGUCUCAACUUAGAAAUGAAAGAUAGAUACUCUAAUGAACACUGCAUAGACUUAGGGAUGGACAUUUACCCCGCCCCGCUCGACCUCGAUUCGAUUCCCGUCGGGUCGGGAAUUCAGAGAAUUUUUUGGGGUCUGGACGGGGAGCCCCGCCCCGCUCGACCUCGAUCCGAUCCCCGUCGGGUCGGGAAUUCGGAGAAUUUUUUGGGGUCUGGGCGGGGAGCGGGGAAAAUUUAUAAAAANAAAUAUAUUAUUAAAAAUAGAUAUCUUUUAUAAUAUUAUUAAAAUUUUAAAAAAUAAUCUUAAUUUUUAUUGAUCGAUUAUUAUUAUAUUGUAAUAUAAUAUAUUUAAUAAUUUUAAAAUUAUCGUUUAUUUAUAUUAGAAAUAAUUUUAAUAUGAUUUGAUGUUAAAAAUCUGAGAUAAUAUUAUUUUAUUAGUAUAUUAUGAGGUAGUAGUUUGUUUUUUAUUGAAAUAAUAUAUUAUAUAUUAUAAAAUUAUUAUUUUUUAUUAAAAACUAAAAUUCCCCGAAUCCUCCGGGAUCCCCGUUCCCCGUUCAGAACGAGGAUGGGGUGGAAAAAAAAUCAUCGUUCAGGGUUCGGGACGGUAUCGGGGAUAGACAUUGAAUUCGGGGAUGGGGCAGAGAUAGCAUUUCCCAACCCCGAAAUGCUCCCUUGCCCUAGCAUAGUUUACCCCCAAUUUUUACCCAAAAUAUUUACGUCGACCUUCCUCGUUACUAAGGGCUAGAGAAGAAACGUUACACAUUCUCUGGGUUACGGUUAGGGUUUGGAGAGGAGCAAAUAAUCGAGGGAUGGGUUCUCCAGCUAAGAAGAAAAUGAGGGUUCUUGAUACUGAAGUAGAUAGACUCAGCAGCUUGCCUGAUGAUCUGAUUCACAAAAUCCUCUCGUUUCUUGAUGCGAAAGAAGCACUUCGAACCAGCGUUCUCUCGAAAAGAUGGAAGCUUGUGUGGACUACUCUCCCUUUUCUCAAUUUUGGUGAGUAUCAAUACUCUUCAUAUCUGAACACAUGUAGCUUGAUCGACCAUGUUAUGAAGCACAGGCACCGUCAAUCCCAUAUUUAUCAAUUGAGUUUAUGUGUUUCAAAGAAUGGACCUACAAAAGGGUUGGUUCAACAGUUUAUCGCUCAUGCAAUCUCGCGCAAUCUCGAAAACCUAAGUCUUGAGUUGAAAUAUAAACACACUAUGUCUUAUAAGCUAUCCACUUUAAGCUCUAAGUUGUUAAAGAAACUUACUCUGGGAGUCAGACUUGAAGACUUUGCUUCGGAAUCAGAUCGCUGGGAUCUACCUGCUUUAACGUAUCUUCACUUGAAACGCCCCAUUUGGGAUGGUAAAUACAAUGUACCUGACUCAUGUUUGACUUGCUUGCCUGCUUUAAGAACACUGUGUCUGGAUAAUUGGGAUUUUUCAAAAUCGUCGUUUUCUUUUAGUUUGCCGGAUUUAACAACUCUUCGUUUGUCUGGGUGUUGUAAAUUCCCUCGAAAAAUUUGGAACUUCCCAGCUUUAUUAAGUCUAGAGCUAGAUAAUGUAGUUCUUAUGUGGAGUUGUAUGGACAUAUCAGCACACCUUCAAUUUUCUUUUCCUCAAUUGCUCAACCUGGACAUUAGAACCCGCUUCUCUGAUUCUAAAGUUUCGUUUCAAAUUUCCGCACCAAAACUCUACAAUUUUAGGUCUGUUGGUAUCUUUUCAAUGAGGCUUGAGGCUCCUGUGUUGGAAAAUGCGAACAUGAAGUUACAGGGUUGGUUUGGGAAUUUGGAAUGGAUAUACAGAAAGCGAUAUUAUCUAAGGUUCCAAGAUAUGCUUUCACAACUUGGUAAUGCCAAAAAUCUUACUUUUGACUUGGAGAGCAUUGAGGUAACUUUGUUUGAUAAUUUUUAUUUGAUCAGAUCUUUAGUAGAGCCUCUUUUUGUAUUGGUACUUGAUUGUGUAACUUGUUGCCUUGAUAUAAUUAGUUUCUAGUCAUGCAUGUUAUUUAGUUGCAAAUUUAUUAUUCACGGGUAACUAGUCACACAUUAGACCCUUUAAUCUACAUUCAGUGUCAUCCCUCCUAGUCUCCUAUAGCACUAUCUCUCCAAGUUUAUCCAUCUUGGAUAUGUUAAAAUAGGCCUAUGAAUUCUGAUUGUUACACUUUGGCUGUAAUAAUAGAAAAAUAAGUUAUUCAGUAAUUAUAGUAGGGAGAUGGUCCAUGACAAGUGAUUAUUGGGAACAAUCUUAUACGCGAUAAUAUACCGUGGAAAACAAAAAAAACCCUAGAGUGGGUGUCUAAAUCGCGGAUGGGCCUGAUUGGCCCCUGCAUACACAUAAAAAACUUAGUGUAAUCUUUUUUCGCUAAAAAAUAGCUCAGAUAGUAUGCUGCAACUAACGCUUGUCAGCGACCCUGACCCAUUAUAGUAUGUACAAUGCAUCUUUGCGUUUUCAAUUUUGAUGAUUAGUAUUCCAAAUUAAUUUAAAUAACAAAAUGACUGAUGUUAUAUUCUAUAAGUUUCCUUAACAAAAAGUAAUUGUCUUCUCUCAUUAGCUCAUUAAGUGAUCUAGCUUCUAGUAUAUUCAGGUUCUUUAGACAACAAAUACAUGAGUAAUCGACAUGUUAAUUUUUAUUAUUUUCUUGUUGCAUUAUGAAAUGCUUUAAUGUUGUAGUUCAUUUGAUGUUUAGUGAUUUAUCUAAAUCCCGUUUGAAUUUUCUAGGCACUCUCUAUGAUUUCCGACAACUUUGCCGGUAAACCUUCUCCAUUCCAUAACUUGAAGUGUAUAAAGUUACCACAUGAAUGUAGUGAAUCAAGUAUACCAGGUGCUCUUAGAAGCUACUUAAUUGGCGGCUCUUCAGCAGGGACCAUUGUGACAACAUUUCCUUGGGUAUUUAAUAAAUCUAUUAUUAUCCUUCUUGACAAUUCACAGUCACAUCAUAUAUUGUCUUGUUUUUGAGGAGAUACAAUACAUGUAGAAUUUGUUAUUAUUAGGCGAUCUCCUGUAAGUUAUGGCAUUGUGAUGGGAACUAGGGGAUGAUCGGUCGAUUAAUGGGCAUUCAUUAAGGAUUUUCUAGAAAAUAGGUUUUGAAUAUAUCUGUCUAUAUCUAUCUAUCUAUCUAUAUAUAUAUAUAUAUGGUCCUACUCCACUUCAAACCCUUCUUAAACUAAAAACUGAAAUAAAAUUCUUUAAAUCACAUCGAAAUAUAGCACAUAUGGUAUGGAAUCGAUCCUUGGGAGAUGAGGAAAAACACAAUGAAGUCGGAUUUCAAAAAAAAGUUCACCGAUUGACGGGAAUAUUCAAAUUAAAAACGGAGAAAUUAUCUGGAAUCAUGUGUGGGAGGGUGCAGGUUUAUUGUGUGUGGUGAAUUCUAGGGGGGUCAUUAGAUUAGAUCGAUCUAAUGGCUGAGAUUAGUUUGUAGUUUUUAGUUUAUAUAUGGCCGCUAUAUAUAAGGUUUAAAAAAAUACCAUGUAAAACAUAUUUAUAUAUGGCCGAUAUAUAUAAGGUUUACAAAAAUAUUAAACCACGUAUUUAGUCUACUACAGUCUACAAAGCAAAUAAUGGCACACUUAAAANGGGUUUGGGGGGGGGGGGGGGGGGGCAUUAGAUUAGAUUGAUCUGAUGAUGGCUGAGAUUAGUUUGUAUUUGAACACUUGCCUAUAUAUAUUUGUUCAAAUACAAACUACUAAAAUACAAACCAAGGGAAACUAUACUUAAACGACAUCACCCACCCUCUGUAUGUCAUCACCCACCCUCUAUAUGUCAUCACCCAUCACCCACCUAGGGCCCACCCUCGCCCCCAUUUAAUCCACCCUGAGCCCGGGCCUGGCCCCGCUAGAGCCUCGGCAAGGCUCCCACAGACAGCUUUAAGAGCCAAAACUUGGCCCACCAUGGCCCCUCUUAGACCCCAUCUAUGCCCAUCUCGGGGUCCAUCCCCGGUCUCAAAACCCUUACCAUUCUACUUAAUCGGAUUGGUUUGUAUUUAGUUUGUAUUGGUUUAGGACCUUAUAUAUAUAUAUAUAUAUAUAUAUAUAUAUAUAUAUAUAUAUAUAUAUAUAUAUAUGAUGGUGGAUUCUACAGGAUGGUAUAUUAAAAAAAACUAUUGUAUAGGAUUUGUCAAAAAUAAUAUAUGUCAAACCUUAUGCAAUUGUUUUACUAAAGUCUAUUACAAAAAAUAAUAUUUGUUUGUUGUAUGACCCUAUGCAGGGGAGAAAUGAAAAAACACUUGAUGAAGCCAUUAUUAAUGAUGCAUGUGCGCGAAAUGUUUUGGAGGGAUACCAGACUAAAGGAAUUGAGGUUUGUAAAAAACUAGCUCUAUAAUAAUACAUGUGAAUAUAAAAUUCUAAAUUAUUCUAUUUUAUUCUUGAAAAGAUUUUAAAUAACAAAUGUUUUGAACAUAUUCAUAGAGUGUGGCUUAUUAAAAAAAAUUUCUUAAGAUUCAUCAAAGUGUUUUUUACGAUAUUAGGAUUGUCUAGUAACAUAAAUUCUCAAGAUUCAACAAAGUGUGGUCUGAAACUAUAUUAGGAGUCUUUACUAAAUUUCAAAUUUAGUUGAGUAAUUGAACCACACGCUGAUUUAAAUUAUUGUAAGAGUUAUAUUUAUUUAAAUUAUCUGAAAUCUUCCUCAGAAUUCUUUUACUCACUUUUUUUCCAUGUGCUUGUUUUUUUACUCGGAAAUUAAAUUCCCUAACUACUGGAUUCUAACAAGUUAUCUAUUAUCUUUAUUUUGUUUUCAUUCUCUUUCUAUUGUUGUUGCUUUAGUUCUGUUAGCCGUUAGUAUUCACAAAAUUACUCUAUUUUCCUUCUAUUCUCGAUUCUCUAAUUAGUUGUAUAAAAUAUUGUGUGUGGUAAUGUAUUCUGGUUAUAGAUGUCUUGGUUUUAUAGUUCAUACCCAUAUAGAAUUGAGAUUCCAUAUAGGUAUUCUGUGUUAAUCUAUUGUUAUAAAAUUUUAAGAUAAUGUUUUCACAAUUAUUGACAAACCAAAGUAGGGAGCUAGUAAGUUUUCUAAAUUGUCUUGUUUUUGCAGGGGAUCGAGAUUCUGCUUGAUUCAUAUCAAAAGAUACAACGGAAAUUAGUUGUGCGGAUAAUUGAAGAAAAGUAUCGAGCGGAAUGUAAAGAACCUCUUCAAGAACUAGCAAAAAAAUUCAAGGAUCUUAACAAUGAUUACAACAAGAUCGUUGAAUGUGUUUUAGAUGGUUCUAAGUAAAACAGAAUCAAGUUUGUAGAUGGAAAAACUUUAUCAUUUCACUUUUUUGGAAGACUUUUUUAGUUGGAAAUUUAAUAUUAUCAGAUUCUUAAGCUCUUACAGUACAAAUUGAUUAUUCUACUAUGUGUCUUUUUGUUGGUAUUUUUAAUUAUGAUCUCUGUAUAUAGUUAUAUUGAUGUUUGGUGGAUUGAAAAAGUUUUCUUAGACAGAGUACUUGUUGAAAUUACUAGUUACCAACAAUCGAACAUUUAUUACUGCACUAGCUCAUAAAAUUAAAUGAAUCUAGUGUAACAUUGCAAAACCAUAGAGCUGAUCUCUGUAUAUAGUUAUAUUGAUGACUUUGAGAUGCUUGUCGAGUACAGGGAUGCCUUUGAUUACUUGCAGAAUAAGGGAUUCAAUCUAAGUUGGGUGGGGAGCCGACUAGAUUAUAUUGAACAUCUCCCCUUGUCAAAGCCCCUGAUUCCCGAGCUCUAUGCAAGAGCUGCAGGCUUGUGUUAAUAAUACCAGAAUUACACUGCAGAAUCUUCUGGCUCGUGUUGAUGAUGCAAAAACUGAAUUGCAAGAUGUGCAAACUCUUCGCGGGGAGAAGUUGACAGAAAUUGAGAAGGCUUUUGGAACUUUGGGUACUAACCUAGCUGUAGGUUUCAUUGCAGGUGAUCUAUUGUCUAAUCCUUAACUUUCAUGGAUUAGUUGUAGGUUUCAUGGUGCCUCAUCCAGUCUUGAAGUUAUUAAUAGGUACUUGAAGGUAUCAUUGAUCAACUUUCCAUUUUGUAUUAAACCGCUUUUGUGUUUGGUUUCAAACUAAUUAUCAUGGAAGUGUUGAAAUGCUUGUAGCAUAA